rnacentral:rRNA from 1 species
GUAGGGGGCAAGCGUUAUCCGGAUUUACUGGGUGUAAAGGGAGCGUAGACGGCAGCGCAAGUCUGAAGUGAAAUGCCGGGGCUUAACCCCGGAACUGCUUUGGAAACUGUUAAGCUAGAGUGCUGGAGAGGUAAGCGGAAUUCCUAGUGUAGCGGUGAAAUGCGUAGAUAUUAGGAAGAACACCAGUGGCGAAGGCGGCUUACUGGACAGUAACUGACGUUGAGGCUCGAAAGCGUGGGGAGCA